UGCCAGCCGCCGCGGUAAUACGGAGGGUGCAAGCGUUGUUCGGAAUUAUUGGGCAUAAAGAGUUCGUAGGCGGAUCUAUCAGUUGGGUGUGAAAUCCCGGGGCUCACCCCCGGAACUGCAUUCAAUACUGUAGAUCUGGAGUCCUUCAGGGGUAAGUGGAAUUCCAUGUGUAGCGGUGAAAUGCGUAGAUAUAUGGGAGAACGCCAAUGGCGAAGGCAGCUUACCGGGGAGUGACUGACGCUGAGGAACGAAAGCGUGGGGAGCAAACAGGAUUAGAUA
rnacentral:rRNA from 1 species